CUGCUCCAAAUGUGGUCUCUACUGGAGCUGGGGGCACAAAUAAAAAAUGAGGAAACUGAGGCUUGGUGAAGUCACGAAACUUGUCCAAAGUCACACAGCUUGUAAAGGGCACAACCAAGAUUCAGAGACAG